GAACUCUCUCUCUCUCUCUCUCUUGAACGCAAUGGAAUGUUGUUCUAUCCGAGUAUCGUCGCCUGUGUCUUCCUCUGUUCUCAACCUUCAGUUUGUCACCAUGUCCACAAUUCCUUGGAAAAUGACAGAUGAAUUGAAGACAAAAUAUUUUUCAUGACAUUUAGAGUUUGUUUGGGUUUGCGAUUUGAAAAUGUGUAAUUUAAAAAAGUGAUUUUCAAAAACGCAGUUAAGUGUUUGGCAACAAUUGCAGUUUGACCUUUAAAAUCGCAUUUUAGCAUUUGAAAUUUUGCGUUUUUAAACAGCACCCCCUUGCCUGCUUUUUGAAAAUGUAGAUUUUUUGCAUUUUCAAAUCGCAAUUUAUUAAAAAUGCAAUUUGAAAUAAUUCAUUUUUUACGAUUUUGUUUAAAAUUACUAUUUUUAUCUACGAAAUCGCAACCUCAAACAUAUCCUUAAUGAGAAUGAGAAACGUACUGAUGUUUAUAUCUGAAUUCUACAUCUUUAUCACUAAACUAAAGUUUACUGCAUAAUUAUAGUUGUUGAGAUUGAUUUUUUCCAUUCCGCGUCUUCAAAUUCGUGAUUGGUUUAACUUGCAUGGCUCAAUCAAUUAACACUGCAGGGCUCUUCAUCCCCAUUUGGUAGAAAAUUUUCGUACAAAUCUUUGCAUCCUUGGUUACUGUUUCUUCAACUUAAUGACUGACCACAGUAGUUUGUUUCCCGAAAAAGUUUAGCUUCUCUCUCUUCAAGAAGAAAGAGCAGAUCCAUAUCAGCAGAAGCUGCUAAGCAGAGUUGGGACUUCGGCAGAUUUUUGAAAACUUUAUAUUUUUUCAAUGGACCCCCAUCUCCUGCUAAGUUCUUUGAAUUUCUGAUUGAGAAACUAUCCAGUCCAUCACCUACUAAACCAGAAAAGGCCAUGGAUAUUCCGGUAUUAUCCUGGUAGCUGGAGCUACUGGUGGUGUGGGUAGAAGAGUAGUUGACAUCUUACGGAAGAAUGGAUUUCCAGUCCGAGUAUUGGUCAGAAAUGAAGAGAAGGCAAGAAGGAUGUUGGGCGGGCCCAGAUAUUGACUUGGUGAGCUAGCUACCAUUUAAAUUCAUACUUUGAUGAAAUUGUUGCAUUAAAUUUCUCUUUCCAACUGAUUAAUUUUAUGCAUUCGUCAAAAUAAUUGUGUUGAAA